AGGGGAGCCGGAGGGAAACCGAGUCUUAAUUGGGCGUUAAGUUGCAGGGUAUAGACCCGAAACCCGGUGAUCUAGCCAUGGGCAGGUUGAAGGUUGGGUAACACUAACUGGAGGACCGAACCGACUAAUGUUGAAAAAUUAGCGGAUGACCUGUGGCUGGGGGUGAAAGGCCAAUCAAACCGGGAGAUAGCUGGUUCUCCCCGAAAGCUAUUUAGGUAGCGCCUCGUGAAUUCAUCUCCGGGGGUAGAGCACUGUUUCGGCUAGGGGGCCAUCCCGGCUUACCAACCCGAUGCAAACUGCGAAUACCGGAGAAUGUUAUCACGGGAGACACACGGCGGGUGCUAACGUCCGUCGUGAAGAGGGAAACAACCCAGACCGCCAGCUAAGGUCCCAAAGUCAUGGUUAAGUGGGAAACGAUGUGGGAAGGCCCAGACAGCCAGGAUGUUGGCUUAGAAGCAGCCAUCAUUUAAAGAAAGCGUAAUAGCUCACUGGUCGAGUCGGCCUGCGCGGAAGAUGUAACGGGGCUAAACCAUGCACCGAAGCUGCGGCAGCGACACUGUG
rnacentral:rRNA from 1 species